rnacentral:rRNA from 1 species
ACUCCUACGGGAGGCAGCAGUGGGGAAUAUUGGACAAUGGGCGCAAGCCUGAUCCAGCCAUGCCGCGUGAGUGAUGAAGGCCCUAGGGUUGUAAAGCUCUUUCACCGGAGAAGAUAAUGACGGUAUCCGGAGAAGAAGCCCCGGCUAACUUCGUGCCAGCAGCCGCGGUAAUACGAAGGGGGCUAGCGUUGUUCGGAAUUACUGGGCGUAAAGCGCACGUAGGCGGAUCGAUCAGUCAGGGGUGAAAUCCCAGGGCUCAACCCUGGAACUGCCUUUGAUACUGUCGAUCUGGAGUAUGGAAGAGGUGAGUGGAAUUCCGAGUGUAGAGGUGAAAUUCGUAGAUAUUCGGAGGAACACCAGUGGCGAAGGCGGCUCACUGGUCCAUUACUGACGCUGAGGUGCGAAAGCGUGGGGAGCAAACAGGAUUAGAUACCCGUGUAGUCCC